rnacentral:rRNA from 1 species
CCCUUAGAUGUCCUGGGCCGCACGCGCGCUACAUUGAUGCAUGCAACGAGUUUAUAACCUUGGCCUGAAAGGUCUGGGUAAUCUUUUGAACGUGCAUCGUGAUAGGGAUAGAUUAUUGCAAUUGUUAAUCUUGAACGAGGAAUUCCUAGUAAACGCGAGUCAUCAGCUCGCAUUGAUUACGUCCCUGCCCUUUGUACACACCGCCCGUCGCACCUACCGAUUGAAUGGUUCGGUGAAGAUCUCGGACUUCGAUAUUUAUUCUUUAUUGAGUUUAUAUUGUGGGAAGUUAUCUAAACCUCAUCAUUUAGAGGAAGGUGAAGUCGUAACA